GUUAUCCGGAUUCAUUGGGUUUAAAGGGAGCGUAGGCCGCCCCUUAAGCGUGUUGUGAAAUGCCGCGGCUCAACCGUGGCACUGCAGCGCGAACUGGGGGGCUUGAGUGUGCGCGACGCAGGCGGAAUUCGUGGUGUAGCGGUGAAAUGCUUAGAUAUCACGAGGAACCCCGAUUGCGAAGGCAGCUUGCGGGAGCACUACUGACGCUGAAGCUCGAAGGCGCGGGUAUCGAACAGGAUUAGAUACCCUGGUAGUCCGCGCGGUAAACGAUGGAUGCCCGCUGUGUGCCAUUAUGGUAUGCGGCCAAGCGAAAGCGUUAAGCAUCCCACCUGGGGAGUACGCCGGCAACGGUGAAACUCAAAGGAAUUGACGGGGGCCCGCACAAGCGGAGGAACAUGUGGCUUAAUUCGAUGAUACGCGAGGAACCUUACCCGGGCUUGAACUGCCAGCGGACGAUACAGAGAUGUUGAGGCCCUUCGGGGCGCUGGCGGAGGUGCUGCAUGGUUGUCGUCAGCUCGUGCCGUGAGGUGUCGGCUUAAGUGCCAUAACGAGCGCAACCCCUCUCCGUAGUUGCCAUCAGGUGAUGCUGGGCACUCUGCGGACACUGCCACCGCAAGGUGUGAGGAAGGUGGGGACGACGUCAAAUCAGCACGGCCCUUACGUCCGGGGCUACACACGUGUUACAAUGGGGGGUACAGAGCGCCGGCUUGCCGCAAGGAGAGUCCAAUCGCGAAAACCUCCCUCAGUUCGGACUGGGGUCUGCAACCCGACCCCACGAAGCUGGAUUCGCUAGUAAUCGCGCAUCAGCCAUGGCGCGGUGAUACGUUCCCGGGCUUGCACACACCGCCCGU
rnacentral:rRNA from 1 species